rnacentral:tRNA from 1 species
AUGGGAAUCGAACCCACAGUGUUCCGCUUACCGGGCAGAUGCCAUGUCCACUUGGCU